AUUGAACGCUGGCGGCAUGCCUUACACAUGCAAGUCGAACGGCAGCGGGGACUUCGGUCCGCCGGCGAGUGGCGAACGGGUGAGUAAUGUAUCGGAACGUACCAUUGAGUGGGGGAUAACGUAGCGAAAGUUACGCUAAUACCGCAUAUUCUCUCCGGAGGAAAGCAGGGGACCGCAAGGCCUUGCGCUCUUUGAGCGGCCGAUAUCAGAUUAGCUAGUUGGUGGGGUAAAGGCUCACCAAGGCGACGAUCGGUAGCGGGUCUGAGAGGAUGGUCCGCCACACUGGAACUGAGACACGGUCCAGACUCCUACGGGAGGCAGCAGUGGGGAAUUUUGGACAAUGGGGGCAACCCUGAUCCAGCCAUGCCGCGUGAGUGAAGAAGGCCUUCGGGUUGUAAAGCUCUUUCGGCCGGGAAAAAAUCGCAUGGGCUAAUACCCUGUGUGGAUGAUGGUACCGGAAUAAGAAGCACCGGCUAACUACGUGCCAGCAGCCGCCGCUG
rnacentral:rRNA from 1 species